rnacentral:rRNA from 1 species
GGUGAACGCUGGCGGCGUGCCUAAGACAUGCAAGUCGAGCGGGGCAGGUUUAUACCUGUUCAGCGGCGGACGGGUGAGUAACGCGUGGGUGACCUACCCGGAAGAGGCGGACAACCGGGGGAAACCCAGGCUAAUCCCCCACGUGGUUCUGUCCUGCGGGGCAGGACUAAAGGGGCGACCCGCUUCCGGAUGGGCCCGCGUCCCAUCAGCUAGUUGGUGGGGUAAAGGCCCACCAAGGCGACGACGGGUAGCCGGUCUGAGAGGAUGGCCGGCCACAGGGGCACUGAGACACGGGCCGAACUCCUACGGGGGGCAGCAGGUCGGAAUCUGCCGCAAUGGACGGAAGUCUGACGGAGCGACGCCGCUGGGAGGGGGAAGCCCUUCGGGGUGUAAACUCCUGAACUGGGGACGAUAGCCCCGUGUAGGGUGAUGACGGUACCCAGGUAAUAGCGCCGGCCAACUCCGUG